CCGUUGGGCAAAGAAACCGAAGCGGUGGGUGUGCUAGAAUCUAGGUGAGUUCGUCUUACAACUGCGACCGUAAUGCAUUGUUUUGUUGAUGAAUAUAUUUAUUUAGAUUCGUUUUAUAUUCACAGCAUGCACUCCUUGAGCAUUGCUGAAGAGGAGCAGCAUGACUCUCUGGAUGAGGAGGAGGCGAAUUAUAUGAGGAAUAGCAUUAUUGACAUGGAUGAUUGCUGGGAGGAUCCUAAUCAGAAGGGCUUGGAAGAAGAUCGGGACAGCUCUGAUGAAGACUAGUCCUUUUCUUCAUCUACGGUAUGUUUCAGUUUCUAGUUGCAUUUCAGGUUGAACUACUGCUAUGUUGAAGGGUGGUUAUUAUAAUCACAAAUAUUUUGGUCUUUCAGGAGAAGACAACGUUUUAGGAGAACAUGAUGCAUUUGUUCCUUUUUGAUCUUCAAAUUGAUUCUAUGUACAUAUCUUGCUGCUUUGCAGUGCCCCAGCUAUGACUGCCAACAUCAACCAACUCCUGGAGAUAAGCAUGGAUGAAGCCGUGCGUGAUGUGGCAACACCCAAUCCUCCAGGUGAGGACAUACAAGAAACUCCAGAACAACAAAACGUUUCAGGACAACUUCAGAUUUGGAGAAUUUCCAAAACCACAUACUCAUGUAUGCAGGAAGGCGGUUUGCCUACAGCCCCCCUGUUUACAAAACCCAGACAUUGCUUGCAGCAAUCGAUUACAACUAUCACAACCACC
ensembl:lncRNA